rnacentral:tRNA from 1 species
GCCUGAGUGGCUCAGUCAGUUGAGUGUCUGACUUCAGCUCAGGUCAUGAUCUCAUAGUCGUGAGUUCCAGCCCCGCAUCAGGCU